AGAAGGGCACUAUAAAGGAGGUGGGUCUUGUCUGUAGAGAAUAUCCAGGUAGGCAGACCCACAGAAAACAGAUUUAAUAAAAAGUAGCCAGUUGUGAACUGAGAAGCAAACAGAAGGAGUUUGCCUGGGAACCAUGCAAGAGAAGCUCUGAGGAGGACAAUAAACAGAGCCCUGAAGGAAAAGACAAAUCUUACAUGGGUGUGGCUGUCCAAUCUAUCCCCAACUGAUGAUGAAGGGGCAUGAGCCUGAACUCAUCCCAUUAAGAGCUUUGAAGAUCAAGACUUUUAAAUUGAUUCAAACUGAGAAUUCUAUGGGAAGUCAGUGAGGUGACAAGAGCACUGCAUUGACACGUUUGUAUGGAAGUGUUGCCUAUUAGUAGCCGAGACCAGCCUGGAAUGCUGAGGGCUGAAGCUUGCAUUCCAUCAGUGACCACGUGUUUUUCUAAGGACGAUGUGUUUACAAGCUCGUCUCAAUGUUUUCUCCUAUGACCCAGUUUCACCUCCAUCUGUACUACAUUCAAUUUUUUAACAGCUGCUAUUCACUCAGGUUCCAAGUUGACCAUCCUUGACUCCUAUGAUCUUUUCCAGAAAAUAGGCUGAUUGCUCAUUGCAGAGUAGCCCCCAUGGACUGUCUUCCUCAGCUUUCAGGCCAAUGAUUGCUCUGAAAUGACCUGACUGAAUGGCUCUGAUUUCAGAAGAACAGUGGUCAAGGACAGGAAAAGAAUGUCACCAGAGCUUUCCCCUGGGCUCGCUCCUCUGCUGUCAACUUAAAAUCCAUAUCUGAACCCUUUCCUUUUCUAUCACCACUGACUUUAGUGAAAAGAUCAAGCAACAGUCUUCUUGUAUAGUCAAAGCUAUUAUAACUGUACAUUAGCUUCAUCACUGAUUUACAAUCACAAAAGCAAUUGAUUCCUCUACUAAGAAAACCAGAGGGCUGUAUAUCUUCCCUGCAAUGCAAAUUAGGUAGUUUUCUAAUCAUGUCUUCCACCACAUAGAAAGUAGAAGUAGAAAAAUCCUCUAACAGCCUGAGAGACCCACUCUUUCACUGUACCUUUCUGCACACUUAUAGAUUCCUGUGCCAAUGCCAAAAUCAGUGUUGUCUUAAGGGAAAUAACCUAUAUAUUUUACCAGUCUGAAUUUUUCUGUGUUUAUCUAUGCAUUAUUUAGGGGCUAUUUAAAAUGUCUACUCAACAUAAGAGGCUUUUAAGAAUAUCAUUAAAUACUGAGUAAUCUAUUCAUUAUCUUAAUAAUUUGCCAUGUAAUGCAAAUUAUAGUCAGAAGCUGCUCAAUCACUGUAUUUUUGGAAAAGUCAUGCAGAGAAUCAACAUUAAACAAGUAUUUGCUUUCAAUUAGGCAUGUGUGAUUUUCAUACAGCCUAUCAUUUGAAAAUAUAAUUUGCACAUUAAUUCUAAAUUGUAGUCAUCUUUUAGACUAGUUGCUUUAUAGUUUUUCAUUUAACAAUAUCUUUGUAUCCCUAGAUGGUGCUAUAUGUACCUUUUGUUGAAAGGAGCAGUAUAGAUAAUUUUAACAUAGAAUGACAGAAAAUCCUAUGUAAGACAAAACUACUACAACAAAACAAAUGAUUGUAGAAGAAUUCCCUCUAGCUUUGCUAUAGGCCAAAAAAGCAUGUGUUCUCAUAUGAUUAUACUCAUGAGAAUUAUUUCUGUGCUGUAUUUAGUAGGAAUAACCAAUAACUACUAUAGAAAGCAAUCCAAAUUUUUGGGGGAAAUGUCAGGCCAAUUGGUUGGUAGCUGUAAAAUGGCAAAGCUCCUUUAAUGUCACUAAUCCUGAUUUACACGAGCUGAGGAUCUGAUUCUUUCAACAUGUUUAGCAAAUUUUGUUUUUGCUUACCUUCAGUCUUGUUGAAUUGCCAUAUUUAUGGGCCCAUAAAUGAAUAUGGAAAGUAUGAUUUUAAUAGCUAUGUAUUUUCAACCAGAAAAACAAAACUAUGCAGGGCCUUUUUAGUAAGUAGCAGCUACUCU